AUGUAUGUCUACAGGAUGGAUGAUCUAAUUGAGUUUCUGCGAAUGAGGAAUGUUCCAGAGGAAACUGUUGAGAAACUGGAACAAGAAAAGAUUGAUGACAGUGUCAUCGAACUAAUGACAGAUGAACAGCUAAAGACAUACUUUCCAUCAUAUGGUGAUCGUUUGGCCAUUUUGGGAUUUUGCAGACAGAAAGCCAGUAACAGGAAUGAUCCCAAUAAAAGGAAAUCAAAACUUUUUGAGCGAUUGAAAUCUAAAAUAUCCAAAAAAUGGAAGUAUGAUGAUUCUGCCACAACAAGUCAACAACACACAGCAAAGAAUGCUCAGAAGACUAUGAGAAAGGUAGAAUUAGGAUGGAUGAAUUACGAUACAGAAAAUGAAGUCUUUAAACAAGUGAGAACAAGAAGGGGUGGUGGCACACGAAAAGUUGAUGUAUCAAAAGAAUCCAAGAAAUCUGAUUUGAUUCAGCAAGCAGUCAAGCUGUUUUUUGCAGAUGGAAAAAGCCCUGAGGGAGACAUCACUGAGUUUGAAGUAGAUUUAAAGGAUUACAAAGAAAUGUCUAUUGAUGAAGACAUUACAGUUGGAAAACUGUAUGCAGACACCAGGUUGCCACUUUUACGGUUCUACCUCACAACAAAGAAGAGAAGUAACUCUGGCUCACAUAUGCAACAGGAAAUAGAUGUGGCUCUCACUACACAAGAACUGAACAGUUCCCCAACAAAAAUGCCAGCUGAAAGAUCAGGAAAUACAGAUAACACAGAUGUGAUUUACAUAGGGAGCAACAUGGAACCAGAGAUGCCUUUCCUUUAUUCAACAGAGAUAAUUUCCUCCACCCUAGAUGAGAAUGCUUUGGAUGACAGCAACACUGUCACAUUUGACACUGGAGACACUGGAGACAUUUUUAAUGUGGAUGAUCAAAUUUUGGAUGAUACAUUACCUCUCUCACCUCUGAACACUAUUGCACAUAGUGAACAAAUAAAAAGGAUCUUAGUUGUCCACCGUGGUCAUGUCCUCCCAGAACUCAUUGCUCAUUUUUUGUAUGAAAGCGUGUUAGGGUGUGAGAUAAAGAUUCAAAUUAUUGCACCAGAUGGAAAACUUGAGAGGGGCCAUGAUGAAGGAGGAGUUGUGAGAGACUGUCUUUCUGAGUUCUGGAAUGAGUUUUAUGAACAGUGCACUAUGGGCAGCUCUUUCAAGGUGCCUUUCCUUCGGCAUGAUUUUGGACAAAUGCACUGGGAAAGUGUAGGCCGUAUAAUUGCCUUUGGAUGGAAAAAGGAAAAGUACCUUCCUGUGAAAAUAGCUCCAGUAAUCUUGGAGCAGGCCGCUUUUGGAAGUGCGAAAAGCGAUGUCAUUGAGAAUUUCCUGAAAUUUGUUCCAGAAUCAGAACAAGCAGUCUUUGAAGCCUGGCGAUCUGACUUCACCACUGUUGACAAAGAAGAACUGCUUGAGGUUUUGGAUGGCCAUAGCUGUCGUAAAACUCCAACAGAGAACAAUGCAGAGGAAAUCUUACAAGAACUUGCCCACAAAAAACUGAUUCAAGAGCCUGCCUUUGUCAUUGAGCAGUGGGCAAACAUGCUUUCCACUGCCAUCAGUCAUCUUGAUGAAAUUUCCUCUGUGUAUGAAAACUUGCAGCCCACUGUGAGAAAGGUUUUGAGGGCUCUUUCUUUCCCAGAGAACAUGAAUACCCAGCAGAGGGAGAUUCAAAGGUAUUUAACCGCUUACCUUAGGGAAUCUGGCACACAAGGUCUGUCUCGGUUUCUUAGAUUCUGCACUGGUUCGGAUCUUUUUUUGGGAAAAACUAUCGUCAUUAACUUCACACAGGUUCAAGGCUUCCAACGACGCCCAGUUGCACACACUUGUGGUUGUGUCUUGGAGCUGUCAGUUUUCUAUGACAGUUAUCCUGAUUUCAGAUCCGAAAUUAACAAAGUCUUAGAGUGCAAUGUGUGGGUGAUGGACUUUAUCUAAUUAAUGAAUUAGAAAAGACUACUGCUUGUAAAUGUAAGACUGUAGUCUUUGUGAAUUCACAUUAUGUACCACCAUAAAAGUUGUCUUGCCUUAUGCACUGUUUGUUUUAAACUGUUGUUUCUGAAUUGUUUGAAAGUACAUGCAUCUGUACUGUUCAUUUGAAAAAAGGUUUAAAGAGUUUUGUAACUAUUAUAACGUGGCAAUGUUAUUGUCAGUUGUAAGACUGUUUGCAGUUGCUGCUCACUGAUGAGCAUUUCCUUUACUUAUAUUAUGUCUUACAGAUAUACAAAUAUUGCACAAUUUCAGUGCAAAGAUAUGGAUGUUUUUUUUCUUUGACCCAGUAGCACUACAUCCAAACCUGUUUUAGCGUUGCUGUUUUUAUAGCGUUACUGUAAGUUGAAAAUUUGUUUGACUACAGUGAGCAUUGCUUUCCUUUCAGUAUGUUAUGUCUUAAGGAUAUGUUGCAAUGCAAAUAUAUGUUGUGCUGUUUUCCAACAGUACACACCCAAUCCUGUUUCAUGAAUACUGUAACCAUAAACUUUACACUUUUUUUUUUUUUUUUUUGGUUAUAGAAUUGCCUGCUUGCUUUGCUUAUGCAGCACAAAACCCAUACAGCAUUUUUUUUAUUUUGAACAUUAGUAGGCCUGCCUUUUCAUUUCAAUUAUGUGUUCCUCAGAAUUAAAAUUUUUAUGUAAAGGUUGACACCAAUAAAGUGAAAUACAUUGUACA
ensembl:lncRNA